rnacentral:rRNA from 1 species
GGCGAACGCUGGCGGCGUACCUAACACAUGCAAGUCGAACGGGGAUCACAGGGUUAGCAAUAACUCCGUGGUUCUAGUGGCGCACGGGUGAGUAACACGUGGGUAACCUGCCCUUGAGACCGGGAUACCCCCUCGAAAGGGGGGCUAAUACCGGAUACGUUCCUCGGAUCGAAAGGUCUGAGGAGGAAAGGUGGCGAAAGCUGCCGCUCUUGGAGAGGCUCGCGGCCUAUCAGCUAGUUGGCGGGGUAACGGCCCACCAAGGCUAUGACGGGUAGCUGGUCUGAGAGGACGACCAGCCACACGGGGACUGAGACACGGCCCCGACUCCUACGGGAGGCAGCAGUGGGGAAUUUUCCGCAAUGGGCGGAAAGCCUGACGGAGUGACGCCGCGUGUGGGACGAAGGCCUUC